AACUGGGUUUUUUUAAAAACCACAACUUACUGAAAAAAAAGCAACAU
rfam:Papio anubis isolate 1X1155 chromosome 11, whole genome shotgun sequence.